GCCCUGUUUAAUUCAUUUACUUCAAAUCUUGACAAAUAAGGCCUUCCUUGCUUAAUCUAAAUAUAUACUUAAUGAUUUAAAUAUCACUCAGUACCCUCUUGGUUCAACUGGAGUGUCCAGUCUGGUUGGAAUAUCAAGAUGAAGCUAUUUCUGAUCCUCUGCCAGUUCCUUCUUGAGGUCAGGGGCUAGAACUUACCCUCUGGCUACUAUUACUGCCACGCCUUCUGAUUGCCAAAGAGCAUUUUCAUUUUUCGGUCCAGACCAUAUUUGGUGUCCUGAGGAGAGAACUGGUUGCCUCUCUUUCUGCAAAUCAGGUUGGUAACGGAUAAAAGCACCAGGUGUCAAGGUCUGGAGUUCCAUUGACUACCUUUGGUUUGCCCACACAUUCCAAAUGCCUUCCUUAGUUUUCCGCAGCUCGUUCCCCUUGAUUCUGUCGUUUUACUCCCAAAGGACUCGAGUUUUCUUUUCUGUAAAUCUGCUCAUUCCUUUCCCCUCGUAUUGUUGGGGGUGGGGGGUGGCGGGGGGAGUGUCUCCUGGCAAGUGAGGCUCACAGUGUUAAAAGGGCCAAGAGGUCGUGGGCCGGGGCCUCCCCUCAUGGAAGUGACCUCCAGGCCUUUGCGGGGGUUGCCCGGGCGAGCGCAGACCUGACGCCCGAGCGGGGCCAAGGUUGUCGGGGUUUCUCCGGGCGGAGGCUGGCCCUCGCGGCGGGCGGGCGGGCGGAGGCGGCGGACGGCUCCGCGCGUGGCCUGACGGAGGCGCAGGCCCACCGCCGAGUGAGGGAAUGCGAGGCGGGCCCGGCGCGCACGGGCAGCAGCGGCCGCUGAGGCGCGCGGGGCACGGCGGUGCCGCCGUGUAGAGCUGUCAGGCCGGUCCGCGGGCGCGCCCGGCCCCGCGCCCCGCCGGCCGCCGCCUCCAUCCCCGCCCGCGGCCCGCGCUCCGAGCGCCCAGACCCGAGGCGGCCCGCACGUGCGCCCGCUCGCCGCCCGCCAGCCGACGAUCUGGGAGCAUGCCCGCGGGAGUCCGGCCGCUCGCCCGGGGCCAGCUGGCGGCGGCGGCGGCGCGUGGAGCCGCGGGGCGCAGCCGGCCGGGUUGGGGCCACCGGGCCGGAGUCUCCCGGGCCGCGUGAGGCGGCGGCGGCCCAGCGCGGCCGAAGAGGACGGAGCAGCGCCGUGCAGAGCGGGGAUGCUGGCCAGGCUGCCCUGGUGCCCGAUACCCUUCUGUGGGCCUCGAGAGUAGGACGUCAGCGCUGCCUUCCCACACAGACCCGCAGGUAUGGACUGCCCCCCUCAAGCUGUGGAGUUUGGGUGUGCAGGGGCUCAACUGCCGUUUCCUCUUCUGUAAAUAUCUGACUUUGUCUGAUUUACAUGGGGUAGAUUGUAUUCAUCGAUCCUGCGUCUUGUAGAUAUUGACUCAUCUUCACCUAGCAGGAGGGGUUGAUGUUCUGUCUCUGGUAGCUUUGGCUUCCCCGGGGCAGCCUGUGUUACUCUCCUUUGUACAGGGCACCCUGGGGGUGCUUCUCUGCUCUUGGUUCCCUGGCUCAGCCUGGUCCUCCCCACCCCAGUCAGAGACAGGACCAGAGUUUUGGGGCUUCCAGGGUGAGCUUCCCAGGUGGUGCUAGUGUAAAGAACCCGCCUACCAAUUCAGGAGACGUAAGAGACAUGGGUUCAAUCCCUGGGUCAGGAAGAUCCCCUGGAGGAGGACCUGGCAACUCACUCCAGUAUUCUUGCUGGAGAAUCCUAUGGACAGAGGAGCCUGGUGGGCUACAGUCCAUGGGUCACAAGGAGUCGCACACGACUGAAGCGUCUGAGCACGCAGUCUGGGUGCUGGUUUGCCGUGUCUCACAAGUUGUGGUUGGCAACACGGAAACAACAGUGUGAGUGUUUUCGGGUAACCACCUCCCUGGAGGAAACUGAAGCCGGAGGCUGUGAUGGGCUGGGAUCCUCUAUGGAGUCAGGACCAGUAGCGCAUCCCCCAGGGGCUGGCCCUUUCUCUCCUUCUGCCCCGAAUUCUCACAGGAGCCCCCAUGCUGGCUUCCGGUCCAUCUCAUCCCAUUGCUGUCCUGAGUCUCAGGCCCCGGCUUCCCUCUGUCCCCUUUUCGUCACACCCAAGGCCUCUUUCGGGCAGAGCAGCUGAAGUGAUGUUGCCUUUUCCUUUCCUGAACAUCGAUGAACCCUUCUCCCUGUGUGCUAAUUGGCUGGUUUGAGCUUUGGGGCUCAGAGAAGGGACAUUCCAUUUGGGGAAACUAACCUGGAGGGAGAAGAAGGGAGCACUAAAGUCUCUGGUUUCUGCUGUGUCGGCUGGGCUAUGGGUUGUAAACGCACUGCCUCUGCUAAGCACACAGUAACUUGUGCAGAGGCCCUUGCCUGCACGCGUGCUUAGUCGCUCAGUCGUGUCUGACCCUUUGGACUGUAGCCUGCCUGCCAGGCUCCUCCAUCUAUGGGAGAUUUUCAGGCAAGAAUACUGACAAUCCCUGUUUUACAUGAGGCAGCUGAAGCUCAGAGAGGGCAAGUAUCUGGCUCAAGAUCACACAGCUAGUCAGUGGUGAUCUUGGCAUUGGACCCCAAGUCUAGACCCAUGCACAUGACGUGGUUUCCCAAACACAGCUGGGCUUCCCCAUGGGCUGGGGGCCUGGCUCCAGGUAAGUCCCCCUGCCCUCCCCACCUCUCCCCUUCCCCACCACACCUCGCUUGGGCUUCCUCUGCUCCCUGGGCACAUGGGGCCCAGCAGACAAGGCCACAGCCAUGGACCCACUCACUGCCGUGUUUCACCGUGGGCUGUCUCCUCUAAUUGCUCACCCGUUUUUGUUGCUGUGAAAAGGCCUCCAAGUGCUAAGAAGAGAGAGUGCUGUGUUUUUUUUUUUUCUUUUUUGUGUUGUAUUUUUUGUUCUGUUGUUUUGCGUGAAUUUUCUCAAAUGGGUAUUUGGGGAAGGAGUUGACAUGGGGACACAGGGGCCUCUCUGCCUCUCCGCGGCCACUUGCCCUCCUGCUGGCUGGGGGUGGGGGCCUAGUUAGCCCUCCUCGGCCCACACAGCCUGGCCUGAGCUCUGACAGCAGCUCAUGUCGGUUGGAGGGGCCCUGCUCCCACGGAGCCUUCGCUUCCUGUUUCCUCUUCUACAGGAAGGGGGUUCUUGUCCUUCCUGAUGGCCUCACACCCAGUUCCGUGGUGUUACGGACAGUGGGCUUACAGCCUCCCCUCAUCUGCAGGUCCUCACUUAGAACUCCUCGGGGGACUCCCCUGGCGGUCCAGUGGUUAAGACUCUGCCUUCCAGCGCAGGGUACACGGGUUUGAUCCCUGGUUCGGGAACUAAAAUGCCACACGCCUCACGGCCAAAAAGAAACCAAAAAAAUAAAUAAAUAAGAAAAAUAGAAGCA
rnacentral:lncRNA from 1 species